UACGAAGGGGGGCUAGCGUUGCUCGGAAUCACUGGGCGUAAAGCGCACGUAGGCGGACUCUUAAGUCGGGGGGUGAAAUCCUGGAGCUCAACUCCAGAACUGCCUUCGAUACUGAGAGUCUUUGAGUCCGGGAGAGGUGAGUGGAACUGCGAGUGUAGAGGUGAAAUUCGUAGAUAUUCGCAAGAACACCAGUGGCGAAGGCGGCUCACUGGCCCGGUACUGACGCUGAGGUGCGAAAGCGUGGGGAGCAAACAGG
rnacentral:rRNA from 1 species